rnacentral:rRNA from 1 species
GCAAGUCGAACGGUAACAUAAAGAAGCUUGCUUCUUUGAUGACGAGUGCCGUACGGGUGAGUAAUGCUUGGGAAUCUGGCUUAUGGAGGGGGAUAACUACGGGAAACUGUAGCUAAUACCGCGUAGAAUCGGGAGAUGAAAGUGUGGGACCUUCGGGCCACAUGCCAUAGGGUGAGCCCAAGUGGGAUUAGGUAGUUGGUGAGGUAAAGGCUCACCAAGCCGACGAUCUCUAGCUGGUCUGAGAGGAUGACCAGCCACACUGGGACUGAGACACGGCCCAGACUCCUACGGGAGGCAGCAGUGGGGAAUAUUGCGCAAUGGGGGCAACCCUGACGCAGCCAUGCCGCGUGAAUGAAGAAGGCCUUCGGGUUGUAAAGUACUUUCGGUAGCGAGGAAGGCAUUUAGUUUAAUAGACUAGGUGAUUGACGUUAACUACAGAAGAAGCACCGGCUAACUCCGUGCCAGCAGCCGCGGUAAUACGGAGGGUGCGAGCGUUAAUCGGAAUAACUGGGCGUAAAGGGCACGCAGGCGGUGACUUAAGUGAGGUGUGAAAGCCCCGGGCUUAACCUGGGAAUUGCAUUUCAUACUGGGUCGCUAGAGUACUUUAGGGAGGGGUAGAAUUCCACGUGUAGCGGUGAAAUGCGUAGAGAUGUGGAGGAAUAC